rnacentral:rRNA from 1 species
AGGACGAACGCUGGCGGCGUGCUUAACACAUGCAAGUUGAACGAAGCACUUGGGUUACUCGAAGUGACUUAGUAGCGGACGGGUGAGUAACGCGUGAGCAACCAACCUUUGUGAGGGGGACAACAGCUGGAAACGGCUGCUAAUACCGCAUGAGACCACGGUUCUGCAUGGGACUGAGGUAAAAGAUUUAUCGCACAAAGACGGGCUCGCGUCCCAUUAGCUAGUUGGUGAGGUAACGGCUCACCAAGGCAACGAUGGGUAGCCGACCUGAGAGGGUGAUCGGCCACACUGGAACUGAGACACGGUCCAGACUCCUACGGGAGGCAGCAGUGGGGAAUAUUGGGCAAUGGGACCGAAAGCCUGACCCAGCAACGCCGCGUGAGGGAAGAAGGUCUUCGGAUUGUAAACCUCUGUCCUUGGGGACGAAACAAAUGACGGUACCCAAGGAGGAAGCUCCGGCUAACUACGUGCCAGCCGCUGC